AAGAGAAUGAAAGCCCUUCUGGCUUCCCGCUUGGGGUCGCGCCGGUUUUUCUCCUCCUCCAGCCAACGAUUGAAAAACAGAGUCCCGGAAUACCAGAAGCUCUUUCAGGAGGACAACGGCCUGCCCGUGCAUCUGAAAGGAGGAGUCAGGGAUGCCCUGCUGUACCGCUUCACCAUGGCCCUCAGCCUC